rnacentral:rRNA from 1 species
AGAGAGAGACAUGCGCGCAUAUCAAUAAGCGGAGGAAAAGAAACUAACAAGGAUUCCCUUAGUAACGGCGAGUGAAGCGGGAAGAGCUCAAAUUUGAAAUCUUCAGGUUUUACCUUGACGAAUUGUAGUUUAAAGAAGUGUUUUCUGCUGAAGUUUUGGUAAAAGUUCUUUGGAAUAGGACAUCAUAGAGGGUGAGAAUCCCGUAUUUGACCAUUAUUUUCAGCUUUGAGAUACACUUUCAAAGAGUCGGAUUGUUUGGGAAUGCAGUCCAAAAUGGGUGGUAAAUUUCAUCUAAAGCUAAAUAUUGGCGAGAGACCGAUAGCGAACAAGUACCGUGAGGGAAAGAUGAAAAGAACUUUGAAAAGAGAGUUAAACAGUACGUGAAAUUGUCAAAAGGGAAGCGUUUGACACCAGUGUUGUUUUCUCGAAAAUCAAUUAAAAAUGGCUCGAUUUUGUAUUGCUGAGACCUUAAAAGCUCACUGUACAUUUUUCGUGUCUUUUUUAAUGCACUUUUCGUUUAACAAGUCAACAUCAGUUUCUUUUGUUGUAAAAGGGUCAUUGGAAGGUGGCUUUCUUUUCGGAGAAAGUGUUUAUAGCCUUUGGCCUCUGCAAUCGAAGAGACUGAGGUCUGCAGCGUAGACUCUUCGGGGUUAGAUACGUUUGUGCUAAGUUAUAGCUUUUUAUAGACAACUUGUUGACUAUAAUUAGUCUUGUAGCUUACUCGCUUACUGCUAUUUUACCUACGCUUAGGAUGUUGAAGAUGUAGCACAUCAU